UUCUAACAGUAUGCUGCUCAGACAUAAAAGGGCCUCAGAAAUAGUGAAUGGAUCAAUAGGCACUCCAGCUGCUAUAAUCUUUACAUGAACUAAACGUUUUUAAAUGCUAUAAAAAAAUACUCCAGUCCUCACAAGAAUACAAAAUUGUGCCAUGCCAGGUAGCCUCCACCUUCUGUAGCAUGAUUUUCCCCCGAAAUAUCUUUAAAGAACUGAGGGAUAAUGUUUCACACCACUGCAUUGUCAUCAUUCAUACAGGUAUAUCUCAUCUGUGAAUGGGAAAUUUAGCAUACCUUAUUAGCAUAACAUUAAUAUAAGGAAGUGUUAUGAGAGACUACAGUUGGCAUUGUCAUUUGAUGGAUCUCAUUUUGAAGCAAUGUCACAUCACCAAGAAGACCCUGCAUCACUUUCUCGGGAAAAAGCGCUUCGUGAGCGCCCAGGAACGGCUCCAGCACUAAUAGUAAAGCCAGAAGAAGUGAGGACGACAUCUGGGCCGCCCACAGCUGCGUGCUGCUGCAUCUCAUGUCUAGCGCCUGUGACCUGCCGCCAUGGCCACCAUGCCCAAGAGAAAGGCUGAAGGGGAUGCUCAAGGUGAUAAAGGCAAGGUGAAGGAUGAGCCACAGAAAAGAUCUGCAAGGCUGUCGGCUAAACCAGCUCCUCCA